AGUGAACGCUGGCGGUAGGCCUAACACAAGCAAGUCGAACGGCAGCACAGUAAGAGCUUGCUCUUACGGGUGGCGAGUGGCGGACGGGUGAGGUAUACAUCGGAAUCUACUUUUUCGUGGGGGAUAACGUAGGGAAACUUACGCUAAUACCGCAUAAGACCUACGGGUGAAAGCAGGGGAUCUUCGGACCUUGCGCGAUUGCAUGAGCCGAUGUCGGAUUAGCUAGUUGGCGGGGUAAAGGCCCACCAAGGCGACGAUCCGUAGCUGGUCUGAGAGGAUGAUCAGCCACACUGGAACUGAGACACGGUCCAGACUCCUACGGGAGGCAGCAGUGGGGAAUAUUGGACAAUGGGCGCAAGCCUGAUCCAGCCAUGCCGCGUGGGUGAAGAAGGCCUUCGGGUUGUAAAGCCCUUUUGUUGGGAAAGAAAAGCAGCAGGUUAAUACCCCGCUGUUCUGACGGUACCCAAAGAAUAAGCACCGGCUAACUUCGUG
rnacentral:rRNA from 1 species